UACGUAGGGGGCAAGCGUUGUCCGGAAUUAUUGGGCGUAAAGAGCUUGUAGGCGGUUUGUCGCGUCUGCUGUGAAAUUUCGGGGCUCAACCCCGAACUUGCAGUGGGUACGGGCAGACUAGAGUGUGGUAGGGGAGACUGGAAUUCCUGGUGUAGCGGUGAAAUGCGCAGAUAUCAGGAGGAACACCGGUGGCGAAGGCGGGUCUCUGGGCCGUAACUGGACGCUGAGGAGCGAAAGCGUGGGGAGCGAACAGG
rnacentral:rRNA from 1 species